rnacentral:lncRNA from 1 species
GUACAAUACAAAAUGUCUGAUUCAUUAUGAGUCAGUCUCUUCCAGUCAGACACCUAGAGGGGAAACAUCCUUGUCAGGUGUUGGCUAUAACAGGGGCUAUAACAGGGGUGAUACAGUUUCUGGUCAGGUGCUGGGCUAUAACACGGGUGAUACAGUUUAUCUGGUCAGGUGCUGGGCUGUAACAGGGGCUAUAACAGGGGUGAUACAGUAUAUCUGGUCAGGUGUUGGCUAUAACAGGGGUGAUACAGUAUAUCUGGUCAGGUGUUGGGCUAUAACAGGGGCUAUAACAGGGGUGAUACAGUUUAUCUGGUCAGGUGCUGGGCUAUAACAGGGGCUAUAACAGGGGUGAUACAGUUUAUCUGGUCAGGUGCUGGGCUAUAACAGGGGCUAUAACAGGGGUGAUACAGUUUAUCUGGUCAGGUGUUGGGCUAUAACGGGGGUUUUACAGUUUCUGGUCAGGUGCUGGGCUAUAACAGGGGCUAUAACAGGGGUGAUACAGUUUAUCUGGUCAGGUGUUGGGCUAUAACAGGGGUGAUACAGUUUAUCUGGUCAGGUGUUGGGCUAUAACAGGGGUGAUA